UUUUCACUACUAAUCAUUAAGGAAGAUGCGCUUUCUGAUUGCGUUUUCUAAAUUUCCAAAGCUUACAUUCCAACUUAUGCCUUAAUUUCAUUUCUGCUGCACUACUAAAAAUGAUUCACGCACUUUGGCAUUAAUUUCAUUUCUGCUGCAUGGUUUUACAAACACGUUUCUUUGAGGUUUGGUCCAGUUGCUUUGCUUCAAUGUUGAUUGCAAUUUCCUCGUUUCAUUUUAACAAUGUUAAAUGCAUUUUUUUCCAAGCUUUAUUCCCGUUUCAAUUAAUUCACGCCCCUUUCAUUUAUUAGCUGAGUAGAUGCAUUCAAUAACAUGCACGGUGCUUUAUUCACCAUGCUUGAUCCCUGUUUCCUUU
rnacentral:lncRNA from 1 species